UGCCCAUAUGAGAAGCCACGAGUCAAAUGUGACAAGUUUCACGCUCCUUCGUGCAAACAAAGGAGUGCUUUUUGUGUAGCAAAUACGUAACACGUGAAGCGACUCGCAGUUAGCCCAGAAGUGAUACAGGAAAGCAACAGGAAACCAGCGCGCGGGCCGGCGGGGAGAAGCCUGGGCGAUGUUUUCCAAGCCUGUGGGCUACAGGAAGAGCGCUCCAGCCCAGACUCUCGGGAGAAGCCGCUUGCUGGAAGCCAACCCCUGCCCUCCUUUCCUCUUCCCUUGCACUGUCUGCCAGCAAGGAGUUUUGUGGGGGACUCUCCCGCCAAAUCUCUUCCUCCCCGCCCUCCUAGGAUUCCCUCCGGAUCCCCUCCUCACCCAGUAGCAGCAGCAGCCCCCAUCGACGUCGCCAGCGCUUUCUUCCUCGGGCCUACGACGCGUUUUCCGCCCCGUAAGUCGUCGUAACAACAUUUCCGGAAGGAAGUCGCUGUCCCGCGCUCCUCGUCCUCGAUACCAUCGAGACCGAAAACGGGGAAGAAGGCGCGCCCCGCCCGCAGCUUCCUGUUUUGUAUGGGCCGUCCGUUUCAUAACGGUAGAUGGGUGGGAGUGUGUGUAGUAGGUGUGUGCUGAUAAGUGCGAGGAGGAGAAGUUGCAAAGGAGGUUUGGCUAGGUUUAGUUUUAAGUCUGGUCCGGCAGCUCUGCUGCUUUUCGCUCUGUAGUUUCCUAUCCUAACGUAUCUGUCCUGUGUAGUGGAGGCCUGUGUCUCUGUAACGUUGUGUUCCUCCAUUAAAGGAUGGGAAGGUGAUCGUUCUUGAAGUUUAUCCCCUUCAGGCUUAAUCAGGAAGGUCACGCUCUGAAUGCAUGUGCACACACAGUGACUUGAUAAUGUUGCCCAGAACAAAACACAUUCCGUGUACAGAUGACAAACAUUAGAGCAAACACUGGAUAACAACCACAGACAAAGAGUCUGGGUGAAAGCUGGAACAACUUGGAAUGGACCGGAACAACCCCUUAAAAAUCAAACUGGAUCCCAAAACCAGAGGGAUGUGUUAGAGACACUGGAGAACAAUAUUUUAGCGUUUACUAUUUCUAAUAUUACACUUUUAUUAACCCCUUCAGAGGUGAAAAUGGAGCAGAACAGCCCAGAAUGCCCUGCAGAAGCCUGAGCUAUUACACAUUUAUUAACCCCUUCAGAGCUUGAAACAGCUGGCUGACAUAAAUGGUUCUGGGCACCAUAGCUACCUGCUUAAAGAAAAAUCAGGACCAGGUCAAACAGCACUCCCAGAUUCUAUACCUGUUCCAAUGGGGAGAUCAAGACCUCAUAAAUUACAUACAACUCUCCCUCCAAGACCCCACAGCAUCCCACAUGAAUCACCUCUAAUUUGUUGGAAUUCACUUUCAAUCUGCAGCUGUGAGAAUGUGCUUACAGUCCAAUCCUACACACAUUUACAUGAGUGGAAGCACCACUGAGUUGAAUGGAAGUUACUUCUGAGUACAUAUGUUUAGAACUGCUUCAUUUUUCACACUGACAGAGCAAGACCUCACCAGGGGCUUUUAAAGAAAAAUAAUGUACAGUACGGGGGCGGGGUAGGGGAGUUGGUGUGAAUGUGGUGCAACAGAGGAAGAUGCUAAAGGGGCAUGGCUCAGUGAUGAGGUCCUCUGUCACUACUCCCAGACUUUCCCUAGUAAUUAGCACUAGUUGCAGAAAGGGGUAAAGAAAAUAUGCAAUUUGAUGUCAUCUUUUUGAAGUAGGAAGUUUUACAAUCCCAAAGAACCAACAGCAAAAGCUGCUGGUUUUCCAAAUCCAAAUUAUAUUUUGGUGGAAGUCUUGAAACUGACCUGCUCUGGCGUUAGAUAGACGAGGAGAAAUAGUUAUCAUCACAACAUCUGCUUAAAAACAUGGAGUGUAUUUAUUUAUUUAUUUUUGUAUGUAUGUCAAAUUUGUAUACUGCCUUUCAUUUAGAAAUCCCAAGGUGGUUUACGGUAUCGUUAAACAAUACAAAUAUUAAAUUUCAACAUUAAAAAUAGGACAAAUCUAUUAAAAACAAAUACACAGUAAAACAACAAAACACAACAAUAUCCAGAGGAGCAGUUAGAAAAUGCUUAGUUUGCAGUGUGGCUAGUUAUGCUUAGAGGCCAUCAGCAAUACUGUCCAGCUACCCUUGCCCCCUCCUCCACCUAUUCCAGACACUGCUGAAGGGUGGGGAACUUGGUUUUCAAAAAUGGUUUCAAUUGAUUGAAGAUUAAAGUAUGUGACUUAGCAACAUAAAUUUAUUGUACAUUUUUUCUGUAUACUUCAAAAGAGCGUACCCAGAAACAGCAAGAAGAAGAGAAGAUAGUGGAUACAGAAUAACUUAAAAUACUUAUUUAUAUUUAUUUAUUUAUGAUACAGCCUACCUACACAGAUUCUGAUGAAGUUCAUGUUCUCAUUCAUUCAAGUUUCAUAUCUCGGGGCCAAACUGUGAUACGUCAAGCAUGUAAUUGAACUUUGUGUU